rnacentral:rRNA from 1 species
GUGGGGAAUUUUGGACAAUGGGCGAAAGCCUGAUCCAGCCAUGCCGCGUGCAGGAUGAAGGCCUUCGGGUUGUAAACUGCUUUUGUACGGAACGAAAAGACUCCUUCUAAUAAAGGGGGUCCAUGACGGUACCGUAAGAAUAAGCACCGGCUAACUACGUGCCAGCAGCCGCGGUAAUACGUAGGGUGCAAGCGUUAAUCGGAAUUACUGGGCGUAAAGCGUGCGCAGGCGGUUAUAUAAGACAGAUGUGAAAUCCCCGGGCUCAACCUGGGAACUGCAUUUGUGACGGUAUAGCUAGAGUACGGUAGAGGGGGAUGGAAUUCCGCGUGUAGCAGUGAAAUGCGUAGAUAUGCGGAGGAACACCGAUGGCGAAGGCAAUCCCCUGGACCUGUACUGACGCUCAUGCACGAAAGCGUGGGGAGCAAACAGGAUUAGAAACCCCAGUAGUCC